rnacentral:rRNA from 1 species
CUACGUGCCAGCAGCCGCGGUAAUACGUAGGGUGCGAGCGUUAAUCGGAAUUACUGGGCGUAAAGCGGGCGCAGACGGUUACUUAAGCAGGAUGUGAAAUCCCCGGGCUCAACCUGGGAACUGCGUUCUGAACUGGGUGACUAGAGUGUGUCAGAGGGAGGUAGAAUUCCACGUGUAGCAGUGAAAUGCGUAGAGAUGUGGAGGAAUACCGAUGGCGAAGGCAGCCUCCUGGGAUAACACUGACGUUCAUGCUCGAAAGCGUGGGUAGCAAACAGGAUUAGAUACCCUGGUAGUCCACGCCCUAAACGAUGUCAAUUAGCUGUUGGGCAACUUGAUUGCUUAGUAGCGAAGCUAACGCGUGAAAUUGACCGCCUGGGGAGUACGGUCGCAAGAUUAAAACUCAAAGGAAUUGACGGGGACCCGCACAAGCGGUGGAUGAUGUGGAUUAAUUCGAUGCAACGCGAAGAACCUUACCUGGUCUUGACAU